GCUCAGUGAUGAGAAAUAGCCAAAUCUGAGCACCAGAAAGAUCAGCUGGUCUAUAUGGUGCAUGAUCUAUAUAUUGUUCUGGGA